CUUCCCCUUCUCUUCUUGUCCAUGCACCCCCCUCUUCUCCUGGUCGCUGAUCGGACGGAGACCCCCAGCCCUGUCUGUCUGUUAGGGGCUUCCCCUUCUCUGUCAAGGCAUCACCCCCUCUUCUCCUGUCUGCUGGAUCUGCGGAGACCCCCAGCCGGUCUGUCGUUGGGGCUUCCCCUUCUCUGUCCAUCACCCCCCUCUUCUCCUGUCUGCUGAUCUGACGGAGACCCCCAGCCUGUCUGGUCCUGUUAGGGAUUCCCCUUCUGCUGGGAUAUUUAGCAACCCCCCUCUUCUUUCGCCUGUCUGCUGUCUGACGGAGACCCCCAGCCUGUCUGUCGGUUAGGGGCUUCCCCUUCUCUGUCCCAUCCCCCCUCUUUCUCGUCUGCCUGAUCUGACGAGAACCCCCCAGCCUGUUCUUCUGUUAGGGGC
rnacentral:lncRNA from 1 species